AUGUUAGAUGUUAGGAUUGAGUGUGAUUUAUUUCAUGAUUUUUGAAAAUGCUUGAGUUGACUUUUGAAUGAAGUCUUUGCUGUUGACUUUUGUAUGCCUCCUUUGCUAUGCUUUGCAUUCUUUGGCUUAUGAAAUGACCUUGAUGCAUGAUAUAAGUUUGAAUCCAAUUGUGUUUGAUUCCUACAUGAUUGAAUUUGACUUUGAUU
rnacentral:lncRNA from 1 species